rnacentral:misc_RNA from 1 species
AAGAGACUGGGUGCUUCGGCGCCCGACCUCCAACCCCUUGUCUAUCUUACCACUGUUGCCUCGGCGUGUAUCGCCCCCUUGACCGGGGGUGUGAGCGCCGGCGGCCUUUAACCAAAACUCUUGUUUAAACACAGUUAAAUCUGAUAAUUGAAAUUAAUAACUUCAA